AAAAAAAGGAAAAAAAAAAGACAAAGUUCCUCAAGCAUUUCUGGAUGUGGAAAAAUCUUGAUCUCUUACAGCUCACGGCCAGAGGCUGAGGCCAGGCCUGGAGGUGUGUGGGGGGGACUCUUUCUUCUCAGGCAUGCCUGCCCCUCUCCCACUGCCCGUUCUCCUCACCCACCGUGACUGCAGCACCCUGAGCCCAUGCACCCGGGGCAGCCCGCAGCCCCCCGCGCCCAUACGGGCACAGGUGAGCCUGCAAAGCCCCUCUGCUCCACCAGCAUCCAUCGUGUCCACCCUGUGUGAGCCUGCAAAGCCCCUCUGCUCCACCAGCAUCCAUCGUGUCCACCCUGUGUGAGCCUGCAAAGCCCCUCUGCUCCACCAGCAUCCAUCGUGUCCACCCUGUGUGAGCCUGCAAAGCCCCUCUGCUCCACCAGCAUCCAUCGUGUCCACCCUGUGUGAGCCUGCAAAGCCCCUCUGCUCCACCAGCAUCCAUCGUGUCCACCCUGUGUGAGCCUGCAAAGCCCCUCUGCUCCACCAGCAUCCAUCGUGUCCACCCUGUGUGAGCCUGCAAAGCCCCUCUGCUCCACCAGCAUCCAUCGUGUCCACCCUGUGUGAGCCUGCAAAGCCCCUCUGCUCCACCAGCAUCCAUCGUGUCCACCCUGUGUGAGCCUGCAAAGCCCCUCUGCUCCACCAGCAUCCAUCGUGUCCACCCUGUGUGAGCCUGCAAAGCCCCUCUGCUCCACCAGCAUCCAUCGUGUCCACCCUGUGUGAGCCUGCAAAGCCCCUCUGCUCCACCAGCAUCCAUCGUGUCCACCCUGUGUGAGCCUGCAAAGCCCCUCUGCUCCACCAGCAUCCAUCGUGUCCACCCUGUGUGAGCCUGCAAAGCCCCUCUGCUCCACCAGCAUCCAUCGUGUCCACCCUGUGUGAGCCUGUGAGCACAGCCCGUGCCACCCGUGCGGCUGUGGGGCAGGGCAAGGAAGGGUUAACACGUGGCCCCUCCAGAGUAAGGAUUGCAUUCACUGAUGGGAUAAACCUGGCACCUCUUUGCGAAGCUAUUCUGCUCCUCCUCAGGCAGCCCAGCCCUCUGCUCGUUCCCCAAGGCAGCACUGGUGCUGCUCUGGGACCACACCACUUGGCCCUGGAGAACAAGGCUUUUAUA
rnacentral:lncRNA from 12 species